UCCGCAUGGCCUUUAUGUCUGGGGCUACACACGUGCUACAAUGGUCGGUACAGAAGGCAGCGAAGCCGAAAGGUGAAGCAAAUCCCUAAAACCGAUCUCAGUUCGAAUAGAAGUCUGCAACUCGACUUCUUGAAGUUGGAAUUGCUAGUAAUGACGUGUCAGCAAUAACGUCGUGAAUACGUUCCCGGGCCUUGUACACACCGCCCG
rnacentral:rRNA from 1 species